GACUUGCCUGUUCUCACAGUAGGGUUGAAAUAGUUCCUCAUCCAGGAAGGUGUCCUCGAUGUCAGCCCCUCCUCCCACCCACCAAUGUGAUGGGAUCCCCAGCUGCCUGUAUCUAACUCUCGCAAUAAAGAUAAGACCCAAGGGAUGAGGCCAGAGAAAGUCUUGCAGGGGAGGUCUCUGAUUUCCACAGCCCCACCCUCCCCACAUCGAGGGCACGGCUGCUCACCUCACUCCAUUUCUGGAAGUUCACCAUAUUUCCCUCGAAGGCAGACAGCCAAUGUCCAUCAGAAACAGCCCCCUUGGCCCAUGACUAGCCCCCAGCCCACCCCUUCCCAAGUUGCAGGACUGCCAGGACCCAGCAGAGGGCAGACACUGCCUCAAGGAGAGCCUGAACCUGGGCCAGGCUCUGGGCUCCAGCGCAGGGGGGGCAGGGUCACUGAGGCCACAGACUCUGUAGCUCCAACCUCUCUGAUGACAGACAGGGAGACUGAGCCCUCAGAAAGGAAGGGACAGCUGGACCACGGAUGUGCUUCCUGACUUGCAGGGGCUGACUUCACUCCCCCAGGGGCAGGGCUUGAGGGAGAGGCUGAGUCCAGCUCUGACACCACCUCCCGCAGCUCUGUAGUGAGGCAGCUCUGAGCUCCCCCAGCCCAGGGAGCCUGGAGGGGGGCUUAUGCAGAGCCUUGGGUCUCACAUUGCUAAGAUGUGCCUGAGGCCCCAGCUCCAGGGGCUGCCAGGAGGUUCUCAGGAGAGGAGCUUUGCCAAGUGCUGAGAGCUCAGGGCCCAGUGCAGGGCUCUCGCCUCCCAAACCUCUGGAUCCUCUUCCCUGUUCCCCUCUCCAUGCUCACACUCCUUCAGAUAAUCCUCCAUCUCAGUGUCCAGCAGCUGCAGGUAAUCGAGGAGUGAGCCCAGGAAGGGGACGACACCCUGAGCCAUCAGGGUGGGAAUGGUGAUGAGUCCCGGCUUUCAUGUGCCCCCAUGGGACCCUCCCCCCAAAACCCUCACCCCAGCCUCCUGCCCACCCCGGACUCCCACAUAGAGCAGCCCAGGACCCUCAGCAGUCUCCCCCAGGAGCCCCCUCCAGGAACACCAAUCUCCCCUGUCACCUCCCAGGCUUGGCUUUAUGCAGAUCCCAGGGAAUGUGGUCCCUGCUCCUCCCCACCCCAAGUCCCUCCUGGGCCAGCCCUGCCAGGCCUCCUCCUGCUCACUUCUAAUGCAGCCGGUUCAGGCUCUGCAUGGCCAGGAGCUGGGCUGGAGGAGGAGGGACCCCUCUCUUGGUGGAGGCCUCCAGCUGUGAGGGUGGAGCACCCUCUCCUCGAACACAUGGACCCCUCCUCCCCACCACAGGCACCCUCACCUGCCACUGCUGCCUCUCCUGGGCUAUCCAGGGAUCCAUCUCCAGGGUCUCCCACAGAGAGGUCGCUUCCUGCAGCGUCAAGGACAAGGUCAGGGAGGCCAUGCUCCCUUCCGCAUGUGUCCCAGGCCCUUGAUCUUGGACCCUGGACAUCUCGUGUGUGUGGCUGCUCCGUUUUCCAGAUGCUCUGAUUCUCGAUCAGUCCCAGCUCCAACACUUGCUCCUCUGUGGCCUUGGGCCUGCCCAGGCCCCUCAGCCUCUCUCCUCAUCUGGAAAGGGUGAGGAGAACUCCACCUGCCUCCCAGGGCCUCCUGAGGACUCAGUGUCAUCUGACUGUCAUCACUGCUCUCCCCUCACCCCUCGAGGAGGAGGCGGCACACAGCUCCUGCACAUUCCUCUCCUCCCUUGAACCUCAUCCCCCGUUUGUGGGGCUUGAACCACAGAUCACCUCCCUCCACGUCCCACAUGGGGAGACCGAGGCUCACAGAGGGGCUUGACUUGCUCAGAGGCCCACAGAGGAGAGACCCCUUCCCCUCCCAGCCAGAGGCCCUGUCCAUCUGCCUUCACCCCACCUACAGACACACCUCUGAACAUGGUCAUGUCCUCUGGACUCUCAGGGUGUGAGCAGACCCUCAGCCAGGCUGAGCCAUGGAUGACAAGGGGCAGGGUGUCUCAGAGGGCCUGUCCAAGUGGCAUCUACCUGUCCCAGCCCCCUGGGAUUCUCUGACCCCAGGCUAUACCUGAGGCGAUGCCAAAGGCCUCAGCUCCCUAGGAUCCCUCAGGACGUUCCCCUGAACACAACUCUCUUUUCAUCCACUCAGGAAGGUGACCCCUAGUGCCACAUCUGAGUGACAGUUACGGGGUGACCAGGGCACUGGUUGAUGGUGACAUUUGCUUCCUUUUUGUUCUUGGAAACUUCUAACAUCCAGUCAGGAAGGUCCACGAAGAAUCUAUUGGAUCCCCUGAUACUCUCAUUGCCAUCUGGGGCAUGUGCCCUGCCAACAAGGCAGCAGGACCUGACGUUCAGGGACACUGAUUCCUGAAGCAGAAGCCCCCGGCCUAAGUUUCCAGAGAGACUCAGAGUCCGCCAGCCAGGUGAUGCUCACAUGAAGAGAGGCCUACCCACCUGGAAACGUGUCCCCAUGUCUUUUUGAGCCGAUGGAUCGUGCAGCUCUGCAGAGCAGAGAGGAUGGCAUGCAGUGAAGCAAAGUUCCUCAGGCCUUGGCACUCCUGGGGCAGGGAAGAGAGUGAGCUGGUGAGGAGAGCUGGAGCCCUGCUGCCUCUGGCUUCUGUUCCCUCAUGGACAUCUCCUGUCUUGGAUGAGACGCAUGCUGAGGAACCCAGUGAGGGCACCCCUGGGACCUGAUGAGUAGCAUUCCCAGGUUGGAGAAUUUGAGCUCAACCCAAGGAGGGAGCCCAGGAAGAAGUGAGCUUCCCACGCUGGGAACAGGAGUCAAGGUCAGUGAGGCCCCGGCAGGAGGGGCCUGGGGACUGUGCAAGGGCUCAGAGCACAGACUUCAAUCCUGAGAGCUGAGGAAGGAGAAGGGGCAGUUUCCAUGACUCCAGAGAGGGGCUCCCUGGGCCGCCCAGAAGGUACCUUGGACACCUGGAUCCAGAGCUCCACCACCCUGGCCCUGUCCUGGGCUGUCAUGCUCAGGUCCCCCAGGCAGGUGGUGACAACACAGUUGACCACUGUGAUAAACUGGGUGAUGGUGGCACGGAUGGUGCAUGCCAGGUGCUCAUUGCCCCUGCUGUCCCAUGGGGACCAGACGGAGUCCAGACAGUGGGGGGGAUCACUUUCUUGAACAGCUCCUGGGGAGGAAGAGAGUGUCACCCAGCCCUGUCACAUGCCUGCUCCAUGUCCACAGUCCACAGUCCCAGGCAGAGUCAGUGGUCAGAGCUGGAGCUCAGGAAGCUGAGGAUGUGGCCUGGGGCUUGUGGGGGUCCCUGGGUUUUGUCUGUGCCCACUGAGGGCACCCAGCACAGGAUGACCCAGGACCAAUAGUGCGGGGAAGGAAAGUGGCAUUCGCUCCCAGCCCAGUCUCACUACUCCAGGCACCAGAACCCCGCUGAUACUUGACGAACGCAAGGGGCAUCGUCUACCUUUUCUGAUCACCCUGGGGCCCGACUCCUCAUUCAGAUGUGCAGUCCUCCCAAGGAGUAACAAUCACAAUCUUUGUAUGUUUGUCUCCCAGGUAGUCAUUACAUAUGAGGUCCCUAAUAAUUGCUAAGGCUGUUGAUGCCUCCUGUGCAAAUGGAUGACCCACCCAAGGACCUGACAGCCCUUCAGUGACCUCCCCUUCCCCCGCCAAAGGGCCAGACUCUGCCCACCUUCCUCUCUGUUCCGCCUCAUUCGUCUGCACAGCCGCUAUGCCUGGCAGAUGCUCUUUUGUCCAUGUCUAGUGUCCACAUGCGGACAGCACAGGCUUGGGAGUUAAGAGGUUGCCCAGGGCACAUGUGUGUAAGUGGGAAAGCUGGGAUUGAAUGUAGGACAUGGGAUUCUGGAUCAGGAAACA
rnacentral:lncRNA from 1 species